rnacentral:misc_RNA from 1 species
ACUCUUCACUCUCUUUGAGUUUCAAACACAAUGGAAGCUGUCACUAUUGCUUCCCAUUUCUCGCCGGCUACCGGAAUACGGCUAUCAUCUACGGCGAGUUGCCGUGCCUCAGCUCCCAAACGGACUCUCAGAUUUUCUCCUUCUACGAAAUCUUCUCUAUCGACGACCUUCAUCUCCCCAUUCAUCGGCAGCAGUCUAUUCUCGGACUUAUCGGGUCAGAGAAUUCGACCCGAUUCUCUUUACCCUUCUUCCUCAACUGGCUUUAUCCCCAAACGUGCCGUUGUCACUAUGGUUAUUCCUUUCGGAGGGGACCCAUCGCAGGAUCAUCCUCCAGAUUUAGCAUCUUACUUGUUUAAGAA